UACGUAGGGGGCAAGCGUUGUCCGGAUUUAUUGGGCGUAAAGAGCGUGUAGGCGGCCAGAUAGGUCUGUUGUGAAAACUCGAGGCUCAACCUCGAGACGCCGAUGGAAACCAUUUGGCUAGAGUCCGGAAGAGGAGAGUGGAAUUCCUGGUGUAGCGGUGAAAUGCGCAGAUAUCAGGAGGAACACCGGUGGCGAAGGCGGUUCUCUGGGCAUGUCCUGACGCUGAGGAGCGAAAGUGUGGGGAGCGAACAGG
rnacentral:rRNA from 1 species